rnacentral:lncRNA from 15 species
AUGAACUGUGUCUCUGGUCUGAAAGUGAAGCGUCAGAGUGGCCACAACAGGACAUUCACCUGCCAGUUUGUUGAUGAGAACAAUGUAAAGAUAGAGGCUGACUACACACCUGUCUUCGUAGGAGGGACAGGAGACGAUCAGCCCGAAAAACCUCAUUCAGAUUCUACAGAUUGGCCUCUGAACCCUAUCAUGUUGGCUCUAAGAAUAACAGGACUGAUCCUAAUGAUUGUAAUCACUGUUCUUGUCAUCAGACACAGAGGUGAGGAAACUCAGACCAUCAUUUGGUACAACUGCUUCAUAUAAAUCAUAUGUUUAGAAUUUUAAUGGUACUUUUUAUUGUUGUUUUUCAGUGAACACAAAACCACUUGAUGACGACAAUGUGAGUUAAAAAAUAAUUAAUAGUAUUUGGAAAAUAAAAGAUGUAACUUUUUCAUUUGAGACUGUUGUCCU